AGAACGAACGCUGGCGGCAGGCCUCAAACAUGCAAGUCUAGGGGGUGUAGCAAUACAUCACCGGCGGACGGGUGCGUAACGCGUGGGAAUAUACCUAUUGGUUCGGAACAACUGAGGGAAACUUCAGCUAAAUACCGGAUGAGCCCUAACGGGGAAAGAUUUCUCGCCAAUAGAUUAGCCCGCGUCCGAUUAGCUAGUUGGUGGGGUAAAAGCCUACCAAGGCGACGAUCGGUAGCUGUUCUGAGAGGAAGAUCAGCCACACUGGGACUGAGACACGGCCCAGACUCCUACGGGAGGCAGCAGUUGGGAAUCUUGGACAAUGGGGGAAACCCUGAUCCAGCCAUGCCGCGUGAGUGAUGAAGGCCUUGGGUUGUAAAACUCUUUCGACGGGACGAUAAUGACGGUACCCGUAGAAGAAGCUCCGGCUAACUUCGUGCCAGCAGCCGC
rnacentral:rRNA from 1 species